rnacentral:rRNA from 1 species
ACGCUAGCUACAGGCUUAACACAUGCAAGUCGUGGGGCAGCGGAUGCUUAGCUUGCUAAGUAUGCCGGCGACCGGCGCACGGGUGAGUAACGCGUACCGAACCUGCCCAUCACACAGGGAUAGGCUUGCGAAAGCAAGAUUAAUACCUGAUGGUCUCAGUUGUAUGCAUGUAUGAUUGAGUAAAGCCUUCGGGCGGUGAUGGAUGGCGGUGCGUCCCAUUAGGAAGUUGGCGGGGUAACGGCCCACCAAUCCUUCGAUGGGUAGGGGUUCUGAGAGGAAGGUCCCCCACAUUGGAACUGAGAUACGGUCCAAACUCCUACGGGAGGCAGCAGUGAGGAAUAUUGGUCAAUGGGCGGGAGCCUGAACCAGCCAAGUAGCGUGCGGGAUGAAGGCCCUUGUGGUCGUAAACCGCUUUUAUCAGUGAAUAAAGUGCACCACGUGUGGUGUCAUUGCAGGUAGCUGAAGAAAAAGGACCGGCUAAUUCCGUGCCAGCAGCCGCGGUAAUACGGAAGGUCCGGGCGUUAUCCGGAAUUAUUGGGUUUAAAGGGAGCGCAGGCGGGAGUGUAAGUCAGCUGUUAAAUAUCAGGGCCCAACUCUGUUAUGCAGUUGAAACAAUAUUUCUUGAGUACGCACAGGGAUGGCGGAAUUCAGGGUGUAGCGGUGAAAUGCUUAGAUAUCCUGAAGAACUCCGAUCGCGAAGGCAGCCAUCCGGAGCGUAACUGACGCUGAGGCUCGAAGGUGCGGGUAUCGAACAGGAUUAGAUACCCUGGUAGUCCGCACGGUAAACGAUGAAUACUCGCAGUUCGGUCAUUAUGAUUGAGUUGUCCAGCGAAAGCGUUAAGUAUUCCACCUGGGGAGUACGCCGGCAACGGUGAAACUCAAAGGAAUAGACGGGGGCCCGC